UCGCAAAGAUUUUAGUUCAAAACACAAGAUUGUUACAACAGUCGUUGCCUAUGCCGGCUCCUAAACAGCUGAACUGAACAUGUGUUUGUGAUAAAAAAAUCUAAGAUUGGAGCAAGACAACAGAAAACUUCUGAAACUCUGCGGCCCCUGCUUCACAUAAAGCACAUUAUUUUUUUCACUAUUGUAGAAUCAACCUUGAGCUUUUUUUUGAGGGUCCAACCUUGAGCUUUAACUAACAGCAUACAUGUUCCAUCUAUUUAAAUUUACAUCAGCAUAAUGUCAAAGAGAAAAACGACGAAAUUCAUUCAAGAAUACAGACACAUAAAUUGAGAACUAUCCCUGCUGUUGAGCCUAAGCAAACAUGUUUAUUAACCACCAAUAGUGCAAUCAGAACCUGAAUGGAUGUUCGUUCCCUACUGAUUGCAGACUACAAGAUAAACAAUAGUGACCAAGCUACACUAGUAUAUGAUUCACAGACUAAAAUACUAUUUCCUGGGUUCCAUCUCGAGGGCUCGUUUGGCAGGGCUGUGGUUAAAAUAGCUUCGGCUAUGGCUCCUCUAUUAGAGCAGCUUCUCUGGUGGAGCUGAAGCCGUUCUGGAAAGUGUUUGGCAAAACGGAUUCUCCUAUAAUUUUUAGGAAUGGAGGUAAGAGAUCAAAUGUUCUAUAUGUCUUUGGUUGUGUGACUUGAUUAUAUAUGUAAUUUUAUUUAUCCUCUAUUAUAAUGUGAUUUCAUAUAAAAUAAAAAAAUUAUGCAUGGAAUUUUAGAUUAACAAUAAUUAGUGGCUUCUCAUAAGUAACAAGGUGCAUUACAAUUUUUUUCUUUUUUUAACGCCCCCUUUGCUUCCUUAUCUUGUCCAUCUCUUUCCGUCCAGAUUCUUCCUUAUCUUCUUUUCCACCCGUCACUUUCCUCCUCGUCGCUUGUCGCUCGAUCCAGCUCCUCCCUUCGCGAUGCUCUGUUCCUUGCCGCACUACUCUGUCCUCCUGCCGCGCUGCUCCGUUGCCUCGUAUCCAAACUGCAUCUAGCGGCCGACGAGGAGCUGCUGGGCCACGCGGGAAAGGCGGGUGGCAUGCUCGCACCAGCACCGUCCGAUGAGGAGCCGCCAGUCCGGGCAUCUACAGCCGCGUCGGAGGCGUGGACACCGGGCUGCGAUGGAUGGCAGUUCCAGGUGUCCGUACCUCAUGUACAAGCAAAAGAUGAUUGUUGUGGCUACUAUGGUCCUUCACAGUUAUAUCUGUGAACAUGGAGGUGAAGAUAUUGACUUUGAUUGGUUUGAUCGUAAUCCUAAUUACAUACCUACUAUCCCGGAAAGGUAUAACAAAUAUGCAGUUUCUCCUUGGCGUCCGACCGGUCUACUUCGAAUGCCAAUGCUCCAACUAUGGAUGUAUUUCAUGAUGAGUUGGCCACCGCCCUUUCUUAUGCUUGGAACUAGUUAAUGUUGGUGUGUUCCUUAAGCGUCAACCUAGCUGACAGAGAAACUGAGCUGACAGAGAAACUGAUGGCAACCGAUCAUCUUUUUCCCAUCAAUAGGUAUGUGCACCAUGGUCCAUGAAAAUGUUUUUUUGGUUGCGAUUGAAUGGGCAACUUGGUCUUGAUGGCAACAUCUUUUUUCCAUCAAUGCGUAUGUACACCAUGGUCCAUGAAAAUGUUUUUUGGUUGCGAUUGAAUGGGCAACUUGGUCUUGGUGCAAAGGUACAAAGAUUAGAUGUCACCGCUCACUGUUCCAGUUGCUAAAUACCUCGUGCUGCUGCCAUGUCCUGUAAGUCCAUUGUCGUCUGGGUGUGGUAUGAGCAGAUGGCAACAGGCAGGUCUCCCUCAACGUACAUAGUGGUGAUAGAAAAACUAUCCAAGGGCAAGAGUGACUAUUCCCACUAGUUCCUACAAUUUCUGGAGCUGAAUUUGUAUCCGGUAACAAACAGGUACAUAGCUCCCUAUUUUCCUGAAGUUGGUGGAGUGGAGCUAAAAAAUGUAGAGUUGGUGGAGUGGAGCUGUUUUUUUAGAGCGGUCCCAAACAUGCUCUAAUAUCUAAUAUAAAUGCACUGUAAAUCCAAACCCCGAUACAUAAUGCUGGAGACAAAAU